UAAGGAAUAUUGCGCAAUGGGCGAAAGCCUGACGCAGCCACGCCGCGUGGAGGAAGACACCCCUAUGGGGCGUAAACUCCUUUUAUGUGAGAAGAAGGUCCCGGUCGCCGGGAUUUGACGGUACCACAUGAAUAAGCACCGGCUAACUCCGUGCCAGCAGCCGCGGUAAUACGGAGGGUGCAAGCGUUGUCCGGAUUCACUGGGUGUAAAGGGUGUGUAGGUGGAAUUGCAAGUCAGUGGUGAAAUCCUGCGGCUUAACCGUAGAACUGCCAUUGAUACUGCUAUUCUUGAGUACUGGAGAGGUUACUAGAAUUCGUGGUGUAGCGGUGAAAUGCGUAGAUAUCACGAGGAAUACCAGAGGCGUAGGCGGGUAACUGGACAGAUACUGACACUGAGGCACGAAAGCGUGGGGAGCAAACAGGAUUAGAUACCCGUGUAGUCC
rnacentral:rRNA from 1 species